rnacentral:rRNA from 1 species
GACGUAGGUGGCGAGCGUUAUCCGGAUUUACUGGGCGUAAAGCGCGUGCAGGUGGUUUGAUAAGUCGGGCGUGAAAUCUCCUGGCUCAACUGGGAGAGGCCGUCCGAUACUAUCAGACUUGAGGGCAGUAGAGGGAGGUGGAAUUCCGGGUGUAGUGGUGAAAUGCGCAGAUAUCAGGAGGAACACCGGUGGCGAAGGCGGCAUCCUGGACCGGCAUU